UGGGGAAUUUUGGACAAUGGGCGAAAGCCUGAUCCAGCAAUGCCGCGUGUGUGAAGAAGGCCUUCGGGUUGUAAAGCACUUUUGUCCGGAAAGAAAUCCUUGGCUCUAAUACAGUCGGGGGAUGACGGUACCGGAAGAAUAAGCACCGGCUAACUACGUGCCAGCAGCCGCGGUAAUACGUAGGGUGCAAGCGUUAAUCGGAAUUACUGGGCGUAAAGCGUGCGCAGGCGGUUUGCUAAGACCGGUGUGAAAUCCCCGGGCUCAACCUGGGAACUGCAUUGGUGACUGGCAGGCUAGAGUAUGGCAGAGGGGGGUAGAAUUCCACGUGUAGCAGUGAAAUGCGUAGAGAUGUGGAGGAAUACCGAUGGCGAAGGCAGCCCCCUGGGCCAAUACUGACGCUCAUGCACGAAAGCGUGGGGAGCAAACAGGAUUAGAUACCCUGGUAGUCCACGCCCUAAACGAUGUCAACUAGUUGUUGGGGAUUCAUUUCCUUAGUAACGUAGCUAACGCGUGAAGUUGACCGCCUGGGGAGUACGGUCGCAAGAUUAAAACUC
rnacentral:rRNA from 1 species